AACGAACGCUGGCGGCAUGCCUAACACAUGCAAGUCGAACGAGAUCUUCGGGUCUAGUGGCGCACGGGUGCGUAACGCGUGGGAAUCUGCCCUUUGGUUCGGAAUAACAGUUGGAAACGACUGCUAAUACCGGAUGAUGACGAAAGUCCAAAGAUUUAUCGCCAGAGGAUGAGCCCGCGUAGGAUUAGCUAGUUGGUGUGGUAAAGGCGCACCAAGGCGACGAUCCUUAGCUGGUCUGAGAGGAUGAUCAGCCACACUGGGACUGAGACACGGCCCAGACUCCUACGGGAGGCAGCAGUGGGGAAUAUAGGACAAUGGGCGAAAGCCUGAUCCAGCAAUGCCGCGUGAGUGAUGAAGGCCUUAGGGUUGUAAAGCUCUUUUACCCGGGAUGAUAAUGACAGUACCGGGAGAAUAAGCUCCGGCUAACUCCGUGCCAGCCGCCGCGGAAA
rnacentral:rRNA from 1 species